rnacentral:rRNA from 1 species
AAAGGCGCAAUGAAAGUGAAGGUCCGCCUUGCGCGGACCGAGGGAGGAUGGACCGUCCCAAGGGACGGCCUCGCACUCCCGGGGCGUCUCGCUCUCAUCGCGAGAAGAGGCGCACCCAGAGCGUACACGCUGGGACCCGAAAGAUGGUGAACUAUGCCUGGUCAGGACGAAGUCAGGGGAAACCCUGAUGGAGGUCCGUAGCGAUUCUGACGUGCAAAUCGAUCGUCGGAACUGGGUAUAGGGGCGAAAGACUAAUCGAACCAUCUAGUAGCUGGUUCCCUCCGAAGUUUCCCUCAGGAUAGCUGGCGCUCGCUUCUCGCGAGUCUCAUUCGGUAAAGCGAAUGAUUAGAGGCAUUGGGGUCGAAACGGCCUCAACCUAUUCUCAAACUUUAAAUGGGUGAGAUCUCCGGCUUGCUUGAACUAUGAAGCCGCGAGAUAUCGGAUCAGAGUGCCAAGUGGGCCACUUUUGGUAAGCAGAACUGGCGCUGUGGGAUGAACCAAACGCCGAGUUAAAGCGCCUAAAUCGACGCUUAUGGGA